rnacentral:rRNA from 1 species
CUGGCGGCGAGCGGCGGACGGGUGAGGAACACAUCGAUCUACCUUGUCGUGGGGGAUAACGUAGGGAAACUUACGCUAAUACCGAUACGACUACGGGUGAAAGCGGCGGACCGCAAGGCGUCGCGCGAUUGGAUGAGCCGAUGUCCGAUUAGCUAGUUGGCGGGGUAAAGGCCCACCAAGGCGACGAUCGGUAGCUGGUCUGAGAGGACGACCAGCCACACUGGAACUGAGACACGGUCCAGACUCCUACGGGAGGCAGCAGUGGGAAUAUUGGACAAUGGGCGCAAGCCUGAUCCAGCCAUGCCGCGUGGGUGAAGAAGGCCUUCGGGUUGUAAAGCCCUUUUGUCCGGCAAAGAAAAGCAUUCGGUUAAUACCCGGGUGUGAUGACGGUACCGGAAGAAUAAGCACCGGCUAACUUCGUGCCAGCAGCCGCGGUAAUACGAAGGGUGCAAGCGUUACUCGGAAUUACUGGGCGUAAAGCGUGCGUAGGUGGUUCGUUAAGUCUGUCGUGAAAUCCCCGGGCUCAACCUGGGAAUGGCGAUGGAUACUGGCGGGCUAAAGUGCGGUAAGGAAGAAGUGGAAUUCCCGGGUGUAGCAGUU